GAUGAACGCUAGCGGCAGGCCUAAUACAUGCAAGUCAAGGGGCCAGUAAUGGCACCGGCGGACGGGUGCGUAACGCGUACACAACGUACCUUUGGGUGGGGGAUAGCAUCGGGAAACUGGUGGUAAUACCCCAUGGUAUUGGAAACUGGCAUCAGUUUUCAAUUAAAGACUACGCCCAAAGAUCGGUGUGCGUCUGAUUAGCUAGUUGGUAGGGUAACGGCCUACCAAGGCGACGAUCAGUAGGGGAUGUGAGAGCAUGAUCCCCCACACGGGUACUGAGACACGGACCCGACUCCUACGGGAGGCAGCAGUAAGGAAUAUUGGACAAUGGUCGGAAGACUGAUCCAGCCAUGCCGCGUGAAGGAUGAAUGCCCUAUGGGUUGUAAACUGCUUUUGUUUGGGAAGAAAUGUAUUCUUUUAAGAGUAUUUGACGGUACCAGACGAAUAAAGCACCGGCUAACUCCGUGCCAGCAGCCGCGG
rnacentral:rRNA from 1 species